rnacentral:tRNA from 4 species
AGGCGAGUGGCUCAACUGGUAGAGUGGCGGUUUCCAAAACCGUUGGUUGGGGGUUCGAGUCCCUCCUCGCCUGCCA